ACCCAGAUGGCCGAGCCUAAGCAUUGGACUUUUAAUCCGACUACAGUUAAAUCACUUCUAGGUA
rnacentral:tRNA from 1 species